AGAGUUUGAUCAUGGCUCAGAUUGAACGCUGGCGGCACGCCUAACACAUGCAAGUCGAGCGGCAGCAUAGUUUGUAGCAAUACGAGCUGAUGGCGAGCGGCGGACGGGUGAGGAACACGUAGGAACCUGCCCUUAAGAGGGGGACAACCAAGGGAAACUUUGGCUAAUACCGCAUAAACUCGAAAGAGUAAAGGUGCCCG
rnacentral:rRNA from 1 species